UAUCUUGUAUAAACGUGAAAAUUAUCUUGUAUAAACGUGAUAAUUAUCUUGUAUAAACGUGAAAAUUAUCUUGUAAAAACGUGAUAACUUAUCCAGAUGGUGGCGCUAGUAUGCUUUUAGUCUGACUCAUUUAAGACGAAGAAGAAGCAUGUGCGUCAUCUACUCGAGAACUAAAAUGGCAAAUUUAUGGAAAUGGAUCAAGUUUUACUUUAUGCUCGCUGGUAUCACCUUAUUUUCAACGGAAAUACGGAGACAGUGAGUGGCGGAUUUCCGUGCGAGACGUCCGAUACGUCACUUCCUGUUACUGGCGAGUCAGCUGGACAGCGACUCGCGCAGUUAAUUCGUACCAAAUUACUCGUCUUUAUGAUUUCAUGGAAGGCCGGGAUCGUUUGUCCGGUUAGAGGCUGUCAUGAUAACGGGUGUAAACGAAAGGUUUAUGUGGAGCAGGAGUGUUUUAAUCAUCGACCGCGUACAAGAGCUGUAGAUACCAGGCGCCCUACUUUCUUCACCCCCAGCCGAAGAAUGAGAUAUCCCUCCGCCUGUGGCUAAAAGUUGUAAAUUUGAAGAAACCACCGAAACAAUGAUAUGUUUGUUCUUUUAAUUUCCUGGACAAAAUAUCGAUAGAAGACCACACGAUGCCAGAAAAGUGGCCGGGCUACGAAGUUCCAUUAAAAUCUCUGUGGAGACGUCAAGAGGGCAGCAGACAGAUGACUGCCGCUGUGAUGCAGAGGGUGACUCGACCGCUCAUAAUCAGAGUCACCUAUGCAGAAAGAUGCUAAUACUACAGGCACCGAAGGAUCACACCAAGGAGAAGAGAAGAACAGUGCAUGUGUACUCCUCUGGCAUACCAGAGGAGUGUCUCUGAAACAUGGAAGAACACAUAAUGUAUUUGCCGGCCACUCAUAUUUCAGAUAUAUUACCUGUCCAGGUGUACCCUGCCUCUCGCCAUUGACUGCUGGAGAUAGGCACCAGCACCCCUCGCCAUCCCAACAAGGAUAAGGGUGUAGGAAAAUGGAUGGUAAUAAAUUAGUACAAAAAGUCAUUCAAGUUUGGGUAAUGUUCUGUCAAAACACCACCUCUUCCUGUCUGUGGAUGUGAGCACACCAUUCUAUAACAGUUUAAUCUUGAAUGGCAAGUUGGAUAAGUACAUCAGGAAGAUAAGUAGAAAAAUAUGGACGGUUUAUAGUUGUCACUACAAACUAUCCAUAUUUUAUAUAAAUAUGAUGACACCAAGUACUGUAAUAUAAAUAAAAAAAUAACUGUUCCUUUAACUUUGUUAAAAGGUGCAGUUUGCCGUGGCCAAAGGUCUGACUGGAUUGUCCUGAACAGAUGAGCUGUGCCGUCCCCAAAAGGCUGAAUGAUGGAUGUUUCCUGCACCACAAGAAUUAAACGGCCUACAAAUAUGCCAUAAGUGAAAUGUACUACAUUUAAUGUAAACAAAUUGCAUUAAUUAAAUAAAUGAAAUACUCUUA